rnacentral:rRNA from 1 species
GACGAACGCUGGCGGCGUGCCUAAUACAUGCAAGUCGAGCGGACCGGAUUGGGGCUUGCCUUGAUUCGGUCAGCGGCGGACGGGUGAGUAACACGUGGGCAACCUGCCCGCAAGACCGAGAUAACUCCGGGAAGCCGGAGCUAAUACCGGAUAACACCGAAGACCGCAUGGUCUUCGGUUGAAAGGCGGCCUUUGGGCUGUCACUUGCGGAUGGGCCCGCGGCGCAUUAGCUAGUUGGUGAGGUAACGGCUCACCAAGGCGACGAUGCGUAGCCGGCCUGAGAGGGUGACCGGCCACACUGGGACUGAGACACGGCCCAGACUCCUACGGGAGGCAGCAGUAGGGAAUCUUCCGCAAUGGGCGAAAGCCUGACGGAGCGACGCCGCGUGAGCGAAGAAGGCCUUCGGGUCGUAAAGCUCUGUUGUGAGGGACGAAGGAGCGUCGUUCGAAGAGGGCGGCGCGGUGACGGUACCUCACGAGAAAGCCCCGGCUAACUACGUGCCAGCAGCCGCAGUAA